GAUGAACGCUAGCGGGAGGCCUAAUACAUGCAAGUCGAACGGUAACAGGAUAGCAAUAUCGCUGACGAGUGGCGCACGGGUGCGUAACGCGUACACAAUCUGCCUUAUACUGGAGCAUACCCCCAAGAAAUUAGGAUUAAUACUCCAUAAUAUAUUUGGAUGGCAUCAAUUGAUAUUGAAAACUCCGGUGGAUAGAGAUGGGCACGCGCAAGAUUAGCUAGUUGGUGAGGUAAAGGCUCACCAAGGAAAUGAUCUUUAGGGGGCCUGAGAGGGUGAUCCCCCACACUGGUACUGAGACACGGACCAGACUCCUACGGGAGGCAGCAUUGAGGAAUAUUGGUCAAUGGGUGCAAGCCUGAACCAGCCAUCCCGCGUGAAGGAUUAAGGUCCUAUGGAUUGUAAACUUCUUUUGUAUAGGGAUAAACCUACCCUCGUGAGGGUAGCUGAAGGUACUAUACGAAUAAGCACCGGCUAACUCCGUGCCAGCCGCCGCAGUAAUAC
rnacentral:rRNA from 1 species